rnacentral:lncRNA from 1 species
AAAUUAGUGAUUUAUAAGAUUUUUGCGUUCCAAUUAAGGGGGAAGGGAGAGGUACAGGUCGUUAGCUAUCUCCACCUAGCGCUGAAUACUUUAAGCAGUUAUCCUGGCGGGGAUUGUCAACAUCAUUCCAAAUCCUAAGCAGUCUUUUGUUUUGUUUACCGUUAUAUUCGUUAAUCCUGUUCAACUGUUCCUAUCCUGUAAAAUCAGUAAAACAUUUCGUCCACUUUAUUUUAUUUUCGCUUACUUUUUCUAUCCGCUCUGUAGCCGCUUCUUUUCUACAGUCGACGUAGUCAGGGCUCGAGCUCGAGGCGUCGAACUAGUUAAAGGGCAACACUGCUUCCCACUUUCCCAGUUCUCACGGAACUUUGUCUGCAAUUCUGUUUUUCAGCUUCCGCGUUUAAGGCGUUACAGGCCGGAUAUAGAAUCCAUACGAUCUGUGUGGUAACUAACAGCACAGAUGGUGAGGCUACCAUCCCAUCUCAUCACUGUGCAAAUAAGUUUAAGCAUGGUGUAAGUGGUUUCAAUCAUCAAUCUUUCAGUGAUUUCACGCAAAAGUUUGCUUUUGUUUCUUGAUCUGCGUUGCAUUAGCUUUUUUGUAACCUAUUUUAAAUCAGUCAAUUCAAAGAAAAAUUGGAACAGCCCAUGUGCCCAGAUCACAUUGGUUCAGGAAGUCGUAGAUUGUUUCGCCUGCGUUGGAUUUUUAAAUCUCCUCUAAGAAUAAUUAGUGCUAGAGCAAGAUUUUGUUGUGUGUGGUUAUUAUUAGGUCAAAAUCAUCCCACCACUUACUGCAAUGCAACAGCAGCGAUUCUUGGCUUUUCAUGCUCAGUGUGACUGUUGGUGGUGAUGUAGAACAAGAACUUAAUGAACUGAACUCAAAAGUUUAGUGACAGCAACACCUAUCUAUGUGAACUGCCAGAUGCAAUGUUUGCCUAUUGUAAGAAGAAUUCAAAUCUGCAGUCUAUAUGGGGAUUGGCGUGGACUACAUUCCCAUUUCCCACAUCAGGCAACAAAAUGCCAAAGAAAAGCCAGUGAGAAUAACGUCAGUGUUGGUGUAAAAAAGUGCGAAAUAGACGAAAAAAACCCAGUUUUUUCUUGCGUUUUUAAGGUUUUUAAUGGAGAAGAUAGUUAAGACUGAUAACUUUCAAUCCUUUCAUUCAACAUCUUCUACAGCCAAUCUCUUUCAACAUGAACAUCAAGAUUAUUGAGUAACAACAAUUGCUAUCUUGAACUCAACAAAGAAGUUGCUAGAGAGGAAUUUCAAACCAUAGUCAAAGUUGAAAAAGAAGAAGUUGACUGCUCAACGCAAUAAAAAAAAGAAUGACAAAAUCGAAGGUGUGAUCGCCAUCAUAUUUGAGAAAAUGGUAUUUUCCUGGUGACCAACUGAACAGUUCCUCAAGUUGCGAGUCUUGCGCUAGAUGUUUGAUGUCGCUGCCACGCUUCGUCGAACUGGAUUGUUGGGAUCGUCCAAUUCUUUUAAUCUACCACGAAUUACUCAGUAUGACUUACGUCGACGAUCAGUUAAAUUUUCGUUGGGAAGACGAUAAACAAUACGCUUUAUCUUACCUGGUCAUUUUGUCCAUUGAAAACCACUGUUCACUCUGCAAAUGGAAAUCGUUGAUAUUUUAAGAUGUGUUUGGCGCCAACGUUCUAAUAAUUGUUAUAAUAAUUCCACAAGUUGGAAGGUUCCUACGCAACGGUCGAAAUUCUUGUGAAAUGUCCUCUUCCUACGAGACCAAAACCGAAAAGCUAAUUACUCUACUAGAGUCCCACUUCUUUCUUUCGUAUCCUCAGUCAUCAGAUUUGAGAUGUGGACAGUGGACCCUAUUUGAAGAACAAAUUGCUCAACACUCCUGUCACUCACAUCCUCAGCUUUAUCUGUGUCAUCCUCCCACAUCUUUGACAAAAAUUCCAACUUUUUUGCCCAAAAGUUGUGGGUCAGGCCUAUUGGCCCAUGAGGUCAGGGGGCCAGAUCUCUAAGCUCUGUGAGAAAUCAUAACAAACGUGUUGUGUUGGGUUUUACAAGAGCUCCUAGUCAAUCCGGUUGAACAAAUUUAGUUUCACCCGGAAACUUCUUUUGGUUUUUCCAUGAAAUUUAUGAUUUGGAACUCGAUGAAGUGCUGUCGAGUUUGGACCUUGGAUCGUUCUUUCGGCUGAAGAAGAUCUCGAUUUUCUCGGACGGCCCGGCACAAUAGCUCGCGUAUCUCGUCCAGAAGCAACUCGCCUAUUCACUCCCGCCAUUUGGUGAUCCAGCGAGGAAACCUUCACUCAGCCGAAUUUUCCAAUGUCGCACCAAUGGAGAUCGUGUGCACCAUUCGACAUCGGAAUCCACUGCUCCCAAGUCAAUCUACUGGACAGUGUUCUGGGAGCGCCUAUAAGCCGCAUAAUUCACAUUUCCGACUUAAGCGUCAGACAGUUGGCGUAUUGGCCCAACCGAAGCCAAUGUAGCCAACGGCAUGAGCGCAAGUAACAAUGGUUCCAUGGCCGCUGUAGAAAGUCUGGUGCUUCCACGGCCAGUUUUAGUGUUGGUAAAGGAUUUUCCAUCUCUCAUACCGUCGGUAUAUUACAGAAGUAGUCAACGGUCGAGUACAACAUUGUACAAUAGAAUACCGUUCGGUACAAACUGCUGCCAGUCAAGCAGGGGGAGACACUGUUGUCUGUUAAAGUCUGAUCUGAACUAUGGAAAAUAUUCUGUCCAGGGAAUGACGCCUUAAAAGAAAGAACUGCGGUUGCGAUCUUCAACAAUCUUGCACGAAUUUUGAUGCUGAAAGACUUGGAAACCAUGCUGUCCACCACGUCGAGAAACUGAGUAACAUUCUGUGUGUUCAAUGGCUCCUCUUAAUAAAAGGAACUGGAGCCAUCCAAUCUAGGGCUUCCACCCAAUCAUAGGCUGCAUGGAAGUCACAUUUACCUUUGCUUUGACGAACAUCCUGAACACAUACACCAUUUGAAGGUUCAUGUUUACAUAGCAGUGGUGUUGCUGUCCAAUGUGGCGUGCAGCCUAUGGUGGUGAAAGAUAUCUGCAUCAAGUUGCUGUUUCUUGUGCAUCCAAGGUGCUGGUUUUGUGCUACAGAAGUUACAUCCAGUAUUGUGUUUUAUUGCUAAUUGUUUCUUUGCAGUUUACCUUUUAUAUAUUGAGAAGGAACAAAAAAAAAUAAUACGGGGAGGUUUAUGUCAAACAAAUAAUAAACAUGUCCGCGAUUGGGGAAUGAGGAGGAAGUUGGGGUGGGAUAUUUGAUUAUCAUUUACUAAAAGAAGUUGGGUAUAUUUUAUUAUUUUUUUAAUGAAUAUGCAGGUGAUAAAAUCUGUUGUUAACCCAUAUAACCUUCUCCACUUACACAUCCAUUCCUCAAACCCCGACAUCAAAUCCCACAUCCAUUCCUCAAACCCCGACAUCAAAUCCCACAUCCAUUCCUCAACCCCUACAAUCUCCAACAUUCAAUUGCCACGAUUUUUUUAUAGCUAUAAUCAUAUUCAUAUAUAAAUAAAUAAAAUGUCAUUGGAUAUAACUUGU